rnacentral:lncRNA from 1 species
AAUAAACGGUCUUCCUUCCGGGACCUAUGCGUAGGAAAGGUGUUGCAGCGCACCAGAACUUAGUUAUGCCGACGGUUGGAUGCUUUUGUGGUCUUCCG